GGGGGAAUCUUAGACAAUGGGCGCAAGCCUGAUCUAGCCAUGCCGCGUGAGCGAUGAAGGCCUUAGGGUUGUAAAGCUCUUUCAGCGAGGAAGAUAAUGACUGUACUCGCAGAAGAAGCCCCGGCUAACUCCGUGCCAGCAGCCGCGGUAAUACGGAGGGGGCUAGCGUUGUUCGGAAUUACUGGGCGUAAAGCGCACGUAGGCGGACUGGAAAGUCAGGGGUGAAAUCCCGGGGCUCAACCCCGGAACU
rnacentral:rRNA from 1 species